UAGGGAAUCUUCGGCAAUGGACGAAAGUCUGACCGAGCAACGCCGCGUGAGUGAAGAAGGUUUUCGGAUCGUAAAACUCUGUUGUUAGAGAAGAACAAGGACGUUAGUAACUGAACGUCCCCUGACGGUAUCUAACCAGAAAGCCACGGCUAACUACGUGCCAGCAGCCGCGGUAAUACGUAGGUGGCAAGCGUUGUCCGGAUUUAUUGGGCGUAAAGCGAGCGCAGGCGGUUUCUUAAGUCUGAUGUGAAAGCCCCCGGCUCAACCGGGGAGGGUCAUUGGAAACUGGGAGACUUGAGUGCAGAAGAGGAGAGUGGAAUUCCAUGGGUAGCGGUGAAAUGAGUAGAUAUAAGGAGGAACACCAGUGGCGAAGGCGGCUCUCUGGUCUGUAACAGACGCUGAGGCUAGAAAGCGUGGGGAGCAAACAGG
rnacentral:rRNA from 1 species